CCGUAAACGAUGAAUACUAGGUGUAGGGGUUGUCAUGACCUCUGUGCCGCCGCUAACGCAUUAAGUAUUCCGCCUGGGGAAUACGGUCGCAAGAUUAAAACUCAAAGGAAUUGACGGGGGCCCGCACAAGCAGCGGAACAUGUGGUUUAAUUCCAAGCAACGCGAAAAACCUUACCUAGACUUGACAUCUCCUGAAUUACUCUGUAAUGGAGGAAGCCACUUCGGUGGCAGGAAAACAGGUGGUGCAUGGUUGUCGUCAGCUCGUGUCGUAAGAUUUUGGGUUAAUUCCCGCAACAAGCGCAACCCUUAUUGUUAGUUGCUACCAUUUAUUUAAACACUCUAUCAAAACUGCCCGGGUUAACCGGGAGGAA
rnacentral:rRNA from 1 species